AAAUCAAAGUUAUUUUGGUUAAUUUUUUUACCUUUAGCUUUGUCACCAUCUGCUAUGGUUGUCCAAUCAACUCAGCCUUCCACUGUUCCAUCUACAUCUGAAACAGUUGGUU
rnacentral:lncRNA from 1 species